CCUACGGGAGGCAGCAGUGAGGAAUAUUGGUCAAUGGCCGGAAGGCUGAACCAGCCAUGCCGCGUGAAGGUCAGUGCCCUAUGGGCGUGAAACUUCUUUUGUGCGGGAGCAAUAAUGGUCACGUGUGGCCAGACGAGAGUACCGUACGAAUAAGCAUCGGCUAACUCCGUGCCAGAAGCCGCGGUAAUACGGGGGAUGCAAGAGUUAUCCGGAUUUAUUGGGGUUAAAGGGUGUGUAGGCUGGGAGGUAAGUGAGCGGUGAAAUGCCUCCGCUCAACGGGGUGAAGUGCCAUUGAUACUGCCUUGCUGGAAUGCGGAUGCCGUCGGAGGAAGGUGUGGUGUAGCGGUGAAAUGCAUAGAUAUCACACAGAACACCGAUUGCGAAGGCAUCUCACGAAUCCGCGAUUGACGCUGAUGCACGAAAGCGUGGGUAUCAAACAGGAUUAGAUACCCCUGUAGUC
rnacentral:rRNA from 1 species